rnacentral:rRNA from 1 species
AUUGAACGCUGGCGGCAGGCCUAACACAUGCAAGUCGAGCGAGUGGCGGACGGGUGAGUAAUGUAUGGGGAACUGCCUGAUCGAGGGGGAUAACUACUGGAAACGAUGGCUAAUACCGCAUACUAUCGGAUGUGCCCAUAUGGGAUUAGCUAGUAGGUGGGGUAAAGGCUCACCUAGGCGACGAUCCCUAGCUGGUCUGAGAGGAUGACCAGCCACACUGGGACUGAGACACGGUCCAGACUCCUACGGGAGGCAGCAGUGGGGAAUAUUGCACAAUGGGCGCAAGCCUGAUGCAGCCAUGCCGCGUGUAUGAAGAAGGCCUUAGGGUUGUAAAGUACUUUCAUCGGGGAGGCGUUACCCGCAGAAGAAGCACCGGCUAACUCCGUGCCAGCAGCCGCGGUAAUUC